GGGGGCGACCUGGGUUCGACGUGGGUUGCGAAGCCAUCGGAGCAUGCCGAGGUUGAAGAUCUCCUCGUAAAUCCAGCUUCAAACGUUUAGUUGCCAACGACGACAACUACGCUCUAGCGGCUUAACCCUGCUAGCCUCUCGCCCGGUUCGACCAUGGGCUAGGAACCGAGGGGUCGAAAAACAUGGUCUCGCGCUGACGCUUUCCUGCGCGCGGCAGCGUUAAAACUCAGUGGGAUCGCCGACCAUCACCCUGUCUGCCGGGGGUUGGAAGGUCAAAUCAAAGACAGACUAAGCAUGUAGGGCCGGUGAGUAGAGGACUGACGGACGCGGGUUCGAUUCCCGCCGCCUCCACCA
rnacentral:tmRNA from 1 species